GCCGCCGAAGCGGAGACCGGAGCCGCGAGCGCCACCAGGGCAGCAGCCGCCGCAGCCGCCGCCGCUGGGCUGAGGAGCCGGAGACGCGGGCGGACGAGGUGGCGGCGGCGGCGGAGCGGGAGCGGGGACCGGGCGCGGGCAGAGCGCGGCGGUGCGGGUGUAUUCUAGAGAAUAAGUCUUCAAACAUCUUUGCCAUAUUGACUCUGAGUUGUCAGGGGACUCAGGCUUAUGAGGAGGUACUGUCACACAAAACAGUGUCUAGUGAAGACGACAAGAAAGUGGGGAAAGGAUUGGAAAAAGAAGCUAAAACACUAUAGAAAACCAUGAGAUCUAUUAGAUCUUUUGCCAAUGAUGAUCGCCAUGUUAUGGUGAAACAUUCAACAAUCUAUCCAUCUCCAGAGGAACUUGAAGCUGUUCAGAAUAUGGUGUCUACUGUUGAAUGUGCUCUUAAACAUGUCUCAGAUUGGCUCGAUGAAACAAAUAAAGGCACAAAAACGGAGGGCGAGACAGAAGUGAAGAAGGAUGAGGCCGUAGACACCUAUUCCAAGGAUCAAGGUGGUCGGACAUUGUGUGGUGUAAUGAGGAUUGGCCUGGUUGCAAAAGGCUUGCUGAUUAAAGAUGAUAUGGACUUGGAGCUGGUUUUAAUGUGCAAAGACAAACCCACAGAGACCCUGUUAAAUACAGUCAAAGAUAAUCUUCCUAUUCAGAUUCAGAAACUCACAGAAGAGAAAUACCAAGUGGAACAAUGCGUAGAUGAGGCUUCUAUUAUAAUUCGGAAUACAAAAGAGCCCACGCUAACUUUGAAGGUGAUACUUACUUCCCCUCUAAUUAGGGACGAAUUGGAGAAGAAGGAUGGAGAAAAGGUUGCGUUGAAAGAUCCUCCGGACUUAUUGGACAGGCAGAAAUGCCUGAACGCCUUGGCGUCUCUUCGACAUGCCAAAUGGUUUCAGGCAAGGGCAAACGGAUUAAAAUCAUGUGUAAUUGUCCUCCGCAUUCUGCGUGAUUUGUGCAACAGAGUUCCCACAUGGGCACCAUUAAAAGGAUGGCCACUAGAGCUUAUAUGUGAAAAGUCUAUAGGUACUUGUAAUAGACCUUUGGGCGCUGGGGAGGCCUUGAGACGAGUAAUGGAGUGUUUGGCAUCUGGAAUACUACUUCCUGGGGGUCCUGGUCUACAUGAUCCUUGUGAGCGAGACCCAACAGAUGCUCUCAGCUAUAUGACCAUCCAGCAAAAAGAAGAUAUUACCCACAGCGCACAGCAUGCACUCAGACUAUCAGCCUUUGGCCAGAUUUAUAAAGUGCUGGAGAUGGACCCCCUUCCAUCUAGUAAGCCUUUUCAGAAAUAUUCCUGGUCAGUUACUGAUAAAGAAGGUGCUGGGUCUUCAGCUCUGAAGAGGCCAUUUGAAGAUGGAUUAGGGGAUGAUAAAGAUCCCAAUAAGAAGAUGAAACGAAACUUAAGGAAAAUUCUGGAUAGUAAAGCAAUAGACCUUAUGAAUGCACUAAUGAGGCUAAAUCAGAUCAGACCUGGGCUUCAAUAUAAGCUUUUGUCUCAGUCUGGCCCUGUCCACGCCCCAGUCUUCACAAUGUCUGUAGAUGUGGACGGUACAACAUAUGAAGCCUCAGGGCCAUCCAAGAAAACAGCAAAACUUCAUGUAGCAGUGAAGGUAUUACAAGCAAUGGGAUACCCAACGGGCUUUGAUGCAGAUAUUGAAUGUAUGAGUUCCGAUGAAAAAUCAGAUAAUGAAGGCAAAAAUGAAACAGUCUCUUCAAACUCAAGCAAUAAUACUGGAAAUUCUACAACUGAAACCUCCAGUACCUUAGAGGUAAGAACUCAGGGCCCUAUCCUCACAGCAAGUGGCAAAAAUCCCGUAAUGGAGCUCAAUGAAAAAAGAAGAGGUCUUAAGUAUGAACUCAUCUCGGAGACUGGUGGAAGCCAUGACAAACGCUUUGUAAUGGAGGUAGAAGUAGAUGGACAGAAAUUCAGAGGUGCAGGUCCAAAUAAGAAAGUGGCAAAGGCAAGUGCAGCUUUAGCUGCCCUGGAGAAGCUGUUUUCUGGACCCAAUGCAGCAAAUAAUAAGAAAAAGAAGAUUAUUCCUCAGGCAAAGGGUGUUGUGAAUACAGCUGUGUCUGCAGCAGUCCAAGCUGUUCGAGGCAGAGGAAGAGGAGCUCUAACAAGGGGAGCUUUUGUUGGGGCUACAGCUGCUCCUGGCUACAUAGCUCCAGGCUAUGGAGCACCGUAUGGUUACAGCACAGCUGCCCCUGCCUAUGGUUAAUACUUUUAAGCAGUUUUCAGCACGUUUAUCUCACUUUAUUCUCGUUCUCCUCGGACCUCCGUAGCCAUAUCACUUGUAUAAAAUAGGCUGAGAUCUAGUGACUGUAAGCUGUGGUCUCAGUAAACAAAGGCCCUCUGACAUCACUGAACUGGCCAUCGUUUGGAAAUUCACUCAUUUUAAAUAUUUCCCUGGCAGUUUUGAGAGCCUGAAACCAACUCUGGUUUACGUUCAUGGACCUCUCUCCAAGUAAGUGAAUGGAAUGAAAUGAAGAACAAGUAUUCCAGUCCUUUUUAAGCAGUUUUUAUAGUAUAGCAGAGACCAAAGUGGUUGCUUUAAACACUGACCACAUUUUUUCGAUGACAAGUGAUCGUGCUUAUAAUCAAUCAUUCAUUAUAACUUACCUGUUUAUUAGAUUUUUUUUAAUAACUGCGGUGGAGGCAAAUCUUCAGUAGUGAGUUAGGGGAACGAACUAAGAUUUGCAGAUGUGCCCCCACCCUUGCACCCAGCAGUUAGAUUUCUAGGAAUCUAGAGCCCUAGGAACUAGGGACAUUAGGAGCAGUUAAAGCUGAAAACCUGCUCUGUGAAUGGUCCUCCUGUACCUCCUGCUCAGCACAGGCCAGUGCGUCCUGGGACGGCGGGGGGGGGGGGGGGGGGAUCUCUCUUAAGUCCUCCGAGCAAGAAAGGUUCUGCUGUAUUUGUACUUGCAAGCUAUAAGGAUCUGAUGCCACACAGUGACUGUAGGUUUCUCAGUGUUACUAGGAGGCCUGGAAGGGAGAUAGGUGGUAACUGAAUAACAACCACAGCGUCAGGAAACUACCUACCGCUGAGAUGAGUUUCAGUAUUGGUGGUUCUCUAGCAGCAACUUACAGAGCACAAGCUAGGACUUCUUAUGUAAGAAUAAGUCUCUUUCCCUUCCUCAUCCCAUCUUCCAGAAAGACCGUUUUAAGUCAAGAAUUCAAGUUGAGUUAGUUGUAAGAAUAGAUAUCCUUUCCCACAUUAUCAUUUUAGGUAGGAGCUAACAGCUUCCAUUGAUACUUGAUGCAGUGAUCUUUGGAGAUUUUAAAAAAUAGCUCCAUAGUGCAAAUUAGGUUAUGUAAGCUUUACAGCACAGCUAGAAAUAGGGAAUAGAAAUCAUGUGGGAAUCUGGGCCAAAGUAUUUCUCUCCCUCCAGCAAAUUCCUGUGGGGCUUGGGGAUUAGAUGAGUUAAUACACGUAGAGUGCUUGGAAUAGUACCCGGUGCACAGUAGGUACUCCGUAAAUGUUGAUGGUUCCUACCAUGGUUGGCUGAAGGGACAGAAGGUAUGUGAGGGAGGCAGCAAGACUGUGCUGGUGGAUAGCAGAGAAGUGAGCACAUGGCCUGCUUGGGGGGGUUGGGGGGGAGCUGCAUUGGUUCCUUGGUAUUUGCAGGCUGGGGGUGCUCCCACACUUUGAGAGAGGACCCCUAAACAGGAAGGAUAAAGCAACACUUAGGUAGUGUGGGGAGGUCGCUGCAGAUCCCCGCUGACUGAAAAUGCACGUGUUUCUGCUGUGGUGGACUCACUGGCUGGUCUGCUGCCAGGGGGCCAUACGUACUCGCUUGGGCAUUUAAGUGUGCUUGGAACUUCAAAACGGCUGAGCUUAGAAUAUCAGCCUGCUGAUUCCAACUUUCCUCCCAGUGCAUUAAUAAGAAAAAAAGAGGUGUGUGAUUACAGCUAGCCAUGGAAUCCAACAUCCAGAGCUCACCAGUGUUUGGCAGGUAGAAAGCAAGUUAUUAUAAACCACGGGAAGAGAAGUCUGGGUGGCAUGCUUAGAGGGCCGCUGACUCCCAUGCGUCUCUUUGUAGCAUUCCUGCAGCUUCUCUCUCCUGGUAUGCUUCAGCGCUUUGGGACACAUCGGCACUCAUCCGCACAGGAGGCCUCCCCUGCGUGUUAAUCUUAGAAAGAACUCAUCUGCCUGUCCAUCCAUCUCUUUCUCUUUUCAGUAAAAGGAAAAAUGGGUAGAUGGUGAGCCGGCGCCGUUGGUUUGAAUAUACAGCUUGCUGUCUCUUUCUGCGCAGGUGCAGGCAUCCCUGUCUGUUGGCAGGUGGUACGCUAGGUGGGGAUUCCAGAUUCAGUUCUCUCUCUCUCUUUUUUUUUUUUUAGGUUGAAUUCUGUAACGCUCUAAGUUUAUAAAACUGUAGACAGGGACUGAGCAUUACCUUUAAAGGCAAAUAAGAUGGAUUGGCGUGAUAGUCAAGAGGCUUUUUUUUUUCUUCUUUUAAUGGUACCAACGGUCUGUCUUUAUUGUUUGCAACGGGAAGUGAAAAGAAGAGGGGACACAACAGCCCCAGCUCCAGGGGAAACUCCAAAGACCUUACUCUCUUCACUGUAGCCCCAAAGCAAGAGGCUUUUCUUAAAUCCAAGAGAUAUUUGUAUAAAUAAUGUCCUGGCAGAAGUCACCCCAUUCCACAGCUGUGGCUGUUUGGUGGAAUCUUUGCCUCAUUGAACUAAGGUUGAGGGAGGGCCUCCUCCCCCCCCCCCCGCCCCCCCCCCCCCCCCCCCCCGCUUUGACCAGUCAGUUUUAACAUCUUAAUUCCUUGGUCCUUCUAAGGAGGGUCUUUGUCUUUCUUGGCAGAACUUAGCCAUUCUGCGAACUGUGCUGCCUUUGCUGGGGGGGCUUCGUGGAGAUUGCCGCCAUCUGCCUGGGCAGCUUAAGGGAGACUGGGUAGCGUGUCCCAGCCGGAGAUGUAUGCUCGUACCUCUCCUGCUGCUUCUGGUCCACACGACGUAACCAUUAGCCUGGCUGCUGUGCAGACAUUCUCUUAGCACUGCCUCGGGGCCCAGUCUCUCAGCCUUGGUCUGGCUUCGAAGACCUACCUGGAUCCUCUGUGAGGUUGGGAUGAGUGGUCUCUGCAUUUACCUGUCAGCUAAAUGUUUUCAGGUGAUGAAGUCAAUAGUAGCCUUCAGUUUAAGUUAUUUUGGGCUGUGGGCAGCAGUAGAUUGAAGGAACAGAAGAAAGAAAAGGAAGAAAUGCUCAAAUCACUCUCUUGUGUGGGCCAGGCACUUGGACAUUCUUCUCGAACAACCUUCUCAGGUGGAAUCUUAUUUUACAAGAGAAGAGACUGAGGCUCAGAGUUAAGCACUAGAGCUAGGGAUGAAACCCCACUCUGUUCGAUGCCAAAGCCUCUUUCCACCACACCAUGCACGCUGUGCGUGCCGUGUGGCUGAAGGGGAGGGGAGCGCCGUGUGGCAGGAAGGACGUGUGCAGGCAGUGGGCUGGGCCAAACGGGGCCUCCGGGUCACAGGGUCUUGGCUGAUAGGCUCCUGUGCUGGAAGCCAGGCUCUCUGACUUGAAGUUGUUCUGGACCAGAUAUCCUGGCCUUUUAAAAAUAGGGCUAUUUUUUAUUGGACCAAUUGGGUAAGUUGUUGAACAAACCGGAAAGACAGGCUAGAAGAUGCGAGUAAGGUGUGGCUGCAUAAACAAAGGAAGCGCUUAUAUUUCAAGCUUGUUUUUCUGUUUGAAUAUCAAUGAGAACAUGAGGUCUGUGUCUGCAUUCAGCUAAUGCUUUCUGAGGCGACGCUCUGCCUGGCCUGAGACUGGUGAUGGGGAUGCCUUAGAAGAUUUGAGCCAGGCCCUAAAGCCUGGCGAGCUUUUGACUCACGGGGUAAAAAGAAGAGAGGGUCCUGGAGGGCCGGCAGCCCAGGUUUGGAGUGUGCUGGGGGGCUGUCCCCGGGUUAAGCACAGCUGGGGGAGUGGCAGGUGGCGGGGGCCUGUUCUGAUCAGCAGGACUUCCCCCGGACGAGGCUUCAGGACAGGCUGCCAGCCUGGAGGCAGCAGGCAGCCCCCUAGGCUUGGCGGUGCUUGGUGAGCCCCUCUGGGGUGGCUUGGAGGUCUGAGCCACUCUGCUGCUCCUGUCUGCAUCUCCCGCUGCCGCACCCCAGGCCGCAGGCUCCUUGGCCGGUGAUGGCCUCCUGGCUCUCUGCCUGAGGGAUGGAGGCCGAAUCCUCUCCAGGGCAGAACGGUCCUCCCUCGCCGCAGGGCAUGGUCCCUGGCAGUUGGCCGUUUCUCGGCGCCACCUGCCAUGAUGCUGGCGGGGAGCAGGAACAAGGAACUGUUUUACACCCAGGUUGCCCGAGUUCCAGAACGGUGCCUUGUGUGUGAGGAGGGUGAGUACCUGGCACAGCACUGCCUUAGCAGCUGAUCUUUCCCAGCGGCCACCCCGCGGCCGCGCUGCCCCUACGGUGUGGACAAGCCACAGCGCGCGCACAGCUGUUCCCACUGCGCAGGCGAGGACGUGGAAGCCCAGACGCCUCGCCAAAGCACCCAGCUUGUUUGUGGCAAAACACUGUCACUCCAAAUAAGUGAGUUUCUAACCACACAGAAGAACUACCAUGGCUGCCACUGUCUUUGGAGCGAACAGAAGCCUGUUCUUAGGGAUGAGAUUUGAACUACACCACAACUGUGGGACUAGCAAUGAUCUCCUUUUACAGAUGAGGAAAUGGAGGCUUCGCCACAGUGACUUCCCACAGAUUAUACAGCCUGUCACCGGCUGGGCCCCCCAACCUGAUAGUGCUCGCUGUGCCCGGUGCUGGUGGUUGGGGUCCCCGCGGGGCACUGCCACCCGCCCCGUUUCCCAAACCGCCUGGCUCCCGGGUCCCCUGCUCGCUGUGAUGCAUUCCACGGACCUCUCGUCCACGCUUCUGGACUAGAUCCUCUGUGGUUUGAAACAAAAUAAGCAAAAACCUACGCUCCCCCUCCCUCCCUUCCCCCAAAAAAGAAUCCAGACCUCGGGCUUACUCUUUCUCUGGUUCCUUUGGAGAACUGUUUGUGAGCUUGCUCCCGGGCCAGGGGAUUGACUGGUUAGCCUCAGCUCCCUCUGUUUCCAUACCGUCUUUUUGCACUGUAACUGAACUCCAUAACGAAGUGCAAACCAGUGAUUGCUAUUGGAGAGACCCCCAAGGGUUGGUGGGGGGUGCGGGGUGCUGUUAGAAGUGUAUUUUCCAUAUUCAGCUUCAUCCAUGUUUUGGCUGUCGUCUGUCGCCUAUCCCUGCCUAGGCCUUCAGUGUGUGCUCCAGCCAGAGGGGUCACCCUCACAGUGACACAUUGCUCAAGUGCUCUGAUGCUGGGAUCUCGUUGGACCCUUCAUAGUGGAGAUGGUCUCAGAAGUUGCUCAGCUUUUUAACACCCCUCAUGUCCUUAGAGGCUACAUAAGGGAAAUAUUGUGGACAUGUAGGAGGUGAGAAACCUCUGGAAGGGGGCACCUGGGGAACUCUGGAAAGCUGAAAGCCCCUCAAAAUGAGAUUCAUUGAGGCUGGGGAAGGAGAGGACUUAUCCAUCAGCGAUUUUAAAGGGUUAUAUUUACUUGUAUCUGGCUCCAGAAGGGUAAGGAUGGUUAUAGGAAGCCAGUUGGGCAAUUUGGGCUAAUGUGUGCCUCCCAGAUGACAGAGCUGCCCUGGGAGAUUAGGUGUGGUGAGAAAUGAGGCCUAUGGUACCAGGAAUGUUUAAGCAAGCUAACUGUUAGCAUAGUGCAGAGGAAUUUCUUCCAUUGGGUAUCAAGUUUGCACGGAACACUGAUGUGUUUGGGGACACUGCCAAGACCACUUCUCCCCUCUUGGGCAUAUGGAUUCAUUGGGAAACCUUCACUGUCACCUGCUGCUGUUCACCAGGCUCUGUGGUGACCCCGCAAAAGGAAUAGCUGGGAGAAAAUGUCAGGAUUUUCAGCUUAGACAAUGGAGUAGAAGGCGAAACCGCUGACCCAAGAUGGAGCGCACAGGAAGAGGGAGGGGGUGCCCAGGGGCUUGAACAGAUCAGAGCCGUCUUCUGUGGUUGGGAAAAACUCUGGCAGGCCUUCCCCUCAGUGCGGGGGCCAGGCCUGUGAGGAGGCUGAGGACCUGGGCGGUUCUGACUGGGGUGGCAGAGUCUUCCCCCUGAGACGGGCACCCGAGCUGGAUGGGAGUCUGCCAGGAGGGUCGUGAGGAGAGCUCUCAAGCGGGGGGUGGGAGGGGGGCGGCAGCGCAUGGCGUGCACAGAAAGGGCAUGGCCUUCUGGAGCGGCAUGGUUACUUGCUGACAGGAACUGGGAUGGUUAGAAGGGUGAAGUGGCAGAUGGGAUGUGUAAUUUGGAGUCACGUGGGGGAAGACCCUGGGUCCUGUGCCCUUUGGUGAUUAUCCUCUUCCAAAAUGGUGAGCGAGUUCUGGAGGGUUGAUCUGGACAGUUGGAUGGGGCAGGACUGGAGGCGGGAGACAGGGGCUGCCACAGAUAGAAGAAUGGGGUCUCUUCAUAAGCCAGGCUCCUCGCCUGGACCGAGCGAGAGGGUGGACCUGAUGGCUCCCAGCGGGGGAUCUGCCCGAGCACUUCUCCUGGGCCUCUGUUCAGUAGGUCACUGAGAGGACAGUGGUACUUGGGGCCAAGAUGGGGAAGGUGGGGGAGGGAGGAAGGUGCUGGCAGGGCAGGAGGGGGUGAUGGGAGAGGGUAGCGGUGUGGCAGGGACCAUCUCCUUUGGGCUGGGAAAUGGGAGUUUGGUGGGCCCAAGUCCUCAUUGGUGUGAGGUGUGAGCCCUCUUGUGCUCUCUGGGAGGCAUCUCUUUGGCAGUGGAUGGAGAGGUUUGCAGGCUGGUCAGUCAGCAUCUUAUCCUUUUCCUGAGUUUCUGAAUGUCUGCUCUGCUGGGUUCGCCAAAGGGAGUGACGAGUACUGGGUGUUCAUUCGUACAGCGGCCUUCUGUUUUUUUUAAAAAGUAAUGCUUUGGUUUCUUUACCUGGGCAAGGUCCAGGGCUCACUGGAUUCCACAUCUAUAGAACAUGGUCUUUAGCUAGUGGGAAGUUGCAGACUGACUUUACGGAGGACUUUAAAAGGGGGGAAACACCACGUAAGAUUUUGGUGUCUAGCUCAGGACAGGUGGCUGGCAAAACUGAGGAGUCAGGGUGGCUUUCUGCACCUCUGUUGUUUCUGUAGUUCUGCUGGGGAUUAAGGCUGAAGAGGCAGCUACAGUUUUGAACCUUCGGGUCAGAGCUAUGAAAGGUUACAGGUGCCCUGAGACACGGAUUCCCUUCAGCCUUUGGGGUGGCCAGGACCCCAGGGCCAAGUGUGUCUAACUACAAGCGGCGUUGUCUUUUUACCCCCGCGGGCCACCUUAUAUCACCUGUGUGUGUCAUAGGCGGAAAUGUGUGGGAGCAUUGCCUUAGCCCUGGUGUUGGCAACUUUCUGGAAGGGGCCAGACAACCUUUCAGGCUCCGUGGACCAUUCGCUCUCAUGGCUACUUUGCUUGGCUGUGGGAGCAACAAGAGUGGCCAGAGACAGUGGUGCAUAAACACAGCAUGGCUGUGGUCCAACAAACUUUAAAAAAAACAAAAAACAAAAAAACAAGAAACCCAACAGAUAGUGGGCCGUAUUUUGCCAACCCGUCUUAGAUUGUAGAGACUGCUCACCCCUUGGCUUAUUCAUGAUUGGAAACUUCCAUCUGCUGCCUGGCCCAUCCAUCUUCCCACAAGGGCUUCCUGAGAGCAUCUGUCCUAUGUGAGCGCUGAGGAGCAAGGGGCGGUCCUGGCCCGUAAGGACCACAGGUGUGUGUGUGUGUGUGUGUGUGCGCGCGCGCACGGGGGCGGGUAAUGCAUUGACAGGUGAGAGCAAAAUAUAGAGCAGAAUGGGGCUCGGGAAGUCCAGGGUGACAGGGGCUCAGGGUGAACCAGGAGAGCCAUAGGAAGGGAGCUGCUCUGGAGAGGAGAGGGAGAGUGUGUGGAACACCGGGGACCGUGCAGUCCCACAGGUGCGUCGCGCCCGGCCUGGGAAGGGCCCUGAGUGCCAGGCCAAAGAGGGUGGACCUCAUUCUCUGGGUGCUGGGAGCCAGUGAGGGGUUGUGUUCAGGACGGUAAACUGAUCACAAAUGCAUUUUAGAAACAUCACUCUAGUUGUGGAAGACCAGAUCUGUGGUUACAAAUGGUAUCGGUUUUUUCUGGGCUUUUUAGGCAAGAUUUUGGUUAGAGUUGGUAUUCAAGUGGGAAGGAGAGGUCCAGAGAGUUGGUGUUUCUGGCCAUUGGCUUUAGGGGGCAGGGAGCACACUCUUGACCUUGGCAGGGCUUGAUAAAAUUCUCCACGUCCAGGCCUUUUCUCUCUCGCUGUCCUAAAGAACAUGUAAAAGGGCAAGACAAACAUUCGGUCUCAAGCCAGAAUUAGAUACUGGCCUGGGGCCUUGGUGUGUGAGGGUAGAAUGAGCUCCCCCUCACUUCAGAAUUGAGUUCGUGGCAGGAGAGCUUCACGCAGUGGACUCCUUCCUGUCUGCAUGCAGCCAGCCCACAGAACAGGCCUUCGGAGAAGCACACACGAUGGUCGGGACUCUCAAGAAGCCUGCUAACUGCUGAGGCAAGAUGUGUGUCACAGGCUAAAGCCAACCCUGCCGGGGGCGUCACAAACUGCCUGGGGCCGGGCCUUCCGUCGGGUACAGGGAAGAUUGAGGUGAGUCACUCACGGUGCCUGCCCCAAGGUGCUCGAUGUAGCUGGGGCAAUGAAAACAACUGUAAAUGUACAUAGUGCUUUCUACUUUCCAGAUCUGCGGUCCGUGUCCGCUCCGCCCCCCCCCGCCCCCCGCGGUUUCUGGGCAGGUGAGGGGAGCAGCUGUAUCUGGAGCACUGGUGAGGCGCUAGGGCCGGGGGCUGGGAGCUGCCCUCGUCGUCCUCCGGGGAGGAGGGGCUGUGUGGCUUGUGUGCAGUGACAGGAGCUGCCGGGCCUGCGCUCGUGCCAUCUCCCCGAGCCCGCAGCAGGCCUGUGGCAGCAGGUGCGGCGCCCACGCAGCUCCGAGAGGAGGCGGCCCCCGCCUGAGGCCCCGCAGCUGGGGGGCCCGGGAGGCGCUUUGCGCGUGUUCUGCCCGCACCCUGGUCCUCCGGAGACCCAGUCAGGAGGCGAGGGGUUGGGUGCUGCCCUGGGCAGGUGGGCCUGGCCCCCGGGGGAGGACUCGGGAGGGUGGUAGGAGGUGGUGACAACCUAGGGAACACUUGCGCGCUGCGUACGGAGGGAAGCGGUCUCGUCAUUGCCGGGAACCCGGUGAGGGUUGCCGAAGGAAGGCCCGUUGGAUGCCAGCCGGGGCUCGUCAGGCUCCCUUUCGUGGAGGGCGUGCCUCUCGGACUUGGGUCCCUGGUCUUGUCUCUUUUGGGGCUUGGGGAGAGGGGGCUCUCAUGUUCCGAUAGUAGGUGGGUAACUUUUCUGAGGAGCACUCGUGUUUCCCAGAUGCAUUUCUGGGCUCAUGGAAGGGAAAGGACGAAGGUGGGCCUGGCUGCGAUGGAGCUGUGGCCUUUCCUCAGGCAGCUCAGGCCUCAGAGGGAGGCUCCUGUCGGGCACCACAGUCCCCUCUGGAGCUGGAGCCUGGCCCAGGCCCUUGCCCUCUCCUAGCCCACGAGCAUAGGCUUGAUGCCGUUUUCCUGCUUAGGGACACAGAUGGUCAGAAGGCUUUUCUUUUUUUGGACUCUAACCUAAAUAUUUCUGCUGCUUGUGAAGUCAAGAUUUUUGUUGUUGUUGCUCAUGGAAAUUCAGAGUAGGGACAGGAGUUUUCGAUUGCUCAGAAGACCUUCAGGAGGUUCCUUCUCCACCUGUGAUUUAUUAAGUUGCAUUCUAAGUGUCCAGCCUCUUCCCCCUCUUCUCUGGGCUGAGGGCUUAGGCGUUUUGGUUUGGUGUGUCAGUGGCAAGAUACGUUGCUCCAGGCGGGCUCCUUCCUUGAUCUGUGUCACUGUGUUGGCCUCCCGGAGUACAUCCUCUGUGGCCCUGAGCCCUGGGGGUGGGAGGACACCCACACGAGCUGUGGCUGGAAUUCCGCCGGGCCGGCAAGCCCCGAUUCCCCAGACACCUCUCCACUGUCGAGUCGGAAGUGCUGCCGUUAGAUGCAUCCCCUUCCCUGACCAGGAGGGCAUCUCGCGCUCAGGCGGGGUUCGCACUGCACCCCUCCUUCGUCCAGGGAACACCCAGGGCUGCCUACUCCCUCUCUCGCUUCCCGCAGUGGCUUCUCAGCGGUGGGGCCUGCCAGGUCUUGCUCCCUUGUGUCUAGAAACUCAGCUGGGGAGACUAAUUACAGGCAGCGUCAAGGCCCCGCACUCCGGGGCCUUAUUUUCAGCACCUCCCAGGAAUCCCAGGCGGCUCUGGCUGUCUUGUGUGCCGUCUCCCACCCUCAGGGGCACUUCCUUCCCAGGGGCUUAAGGAAGCAGAGUGAAUGCUUACUUGAGGUGGGAGUCCUCUGCCUUUGUCCCUCUUGUCUUCUGGUGAGCUUCUAAGUGAGGCACGAGCCGCCUUCACUGGGCAGAUUUCAUCUCCUUCAGGCCUUAGCAGUGCUUACCUUGCUUUACCCCGAAGUGUCUCGGAGCUCAGGCCUUUUACCAGGGAGCAGUCUGCUGGCCUAAGUGGCCGGUGGGGGCCCAGCCACACCUUCAGGAGCACAGGAGAGGACGGCAUCCCGAGGUAGCCCUAAUUAGGGGGAGGGCACUUCUAGGGCCGGCUCAGCCCGUCCGCUCCACAGCCCCACACCCUGCUCUGCGUGCCGUGUCGCACUGGCAGCGAGGGGCCUGUCGGGCUCGUCACCCGCUCGAAGCAGAGUGGGCAGGGUGGCGUGGUGUGGGGAGGCGGCAGCUAGUUCCGAACGGAAGCCCAGGGCUGUUCAAGAAGGGGCUUCCCUCGUAAAGGACUAAGGUGGCCCUGCCCAGCCUCAGCCCCGGGGUGGGGAGUUCAGGAGGCAUGGAGAAGGCCGAGUGUAGUUGUGGGUAGGAAACCUUUCUUUCCCCACUGCACGGUUACGCACGUGACAUUGGACUCCUGGCUGUAGCUUACUCUCGCUCUGGUCUGGUGAUGGCCAGGGUAGUUUUUAGAUACCAGUUGAAAAUACCUAUCUAUCUACUGUUUUUUCUGAAUACGCAA